GAUAAACGCUGGCGGCGUGCCUAACACAUGCAAGUCGAACGCCCUUUUGCGCAAGUGAGAGGGAGUGGCGGACGGGUGAGUACCACGUGGGUACCUACCUUGAGGUGAGGAAUACCACCGAGAAAUCGGUGACAAGACCGCAUACGCUCGGGCAACCGAGCAAAGUCAUGCAAAUGACGCCACAAGAUGAGCCUGCGCCUGAUUAGCUGGUUGGUGAGGUAACAGCUCACCAAGGCGACGAUCAGUAGCUGGUCUGAGAGGAUGAUCAGCCACACUGGGAUUGAGAACGGCCCAGACUCCUACGGGGGC
rnacentral:rRNA from 1 species